GAAGAGUUGCAGUACAGCAGUGUUGUUGGAGUAUGUUAUGAGACCCGUCAAAGUCACAAGCUGCCAGUGGUUGAAUAGAGUUUGCAAUGGGCUGGAUAAGUCUUUAAAAUGUUGAAUGUACCUGAUGGAGGUCCAGGACCAGAUCUUCUAAUGGAACGGGUUGCGGUGAGCCAGAGCCUAACCCAGCAGACACAGGACUACACCGAGGAUGGGGACACCAGCCCACACACACAGGGCAUCACAUCCUGGUGACUGUUUUAAAACUAGUUUUUCAAACAAUGGCAGCAUUAAAGGCACAGAGGGAUGAAGAUUGACGUUUGAAAUUAUUCUUUACAGGAGCUUUCUAAGAAUAUUUGUGUUUCCUCUGUAAAAAUAAAAACAGGAUCUUAUUGUAGUUUUUAUUUUUAGAUCCAUUACCUCUAGGAUUUGAAAAUACAGUAGCUCUUAGGUGCUCAUGCAUUUAUUUAACCAGCGUCUUGAAAUUAGAUGCUUUGUCCAGAACAACAAAAACUGUUUAGUCAUCUAAUUUGCAUAGUGAUCAUUUGAAUAUAUUAGCUACCAUCACCUUUAGGUCAAAAUAUUAGAAACAUAACCAUCAUUACUGCCUCAUAUUGCUAGAACAGUCAUUGCUUUUGAGACUGUUCUUUUUUCUCUCUCUCUUCUCAGUUGUGCACAUAUGUAUGUAUGUAUGUAUGUAUGUAUGUAUGUAUGUAUGUAUGUAUGUAUAAAGAUCCCUCUAGAGGUCCUAUUUUCAAUAAUCCACUAUUGUUUUCUUGUAAAAGAAACAAGAAUCCAAAAGAGCAUUUAGUCCUAAUAACAUGCAACCCAGUUUUGACAAUCUUUAAAGUCUAAUUUCCAUGCAACAGCUCAGGCUGUGCUACUUUAAAUACAUGUACAUCGGAGAAACAAAACAUCAUGGAACAUCUAUGCAGUAUAAGAAUUAACACCUCUACAUCUCCUGCUGCCAGACAUUAUAACACAAUUUACCACACUGCAGAAGACAUCACAAUUUGUGGGAUAAAUCACCGCUAUGGGACAAAUGCAGCCAGGAAGCAUAAACAAUGCAAAUUCAUUUUCAAAUGAGGCACUUUAGAACCUCUUGGAAUGAACAUUCUAUUCUGAAGUCAUCAUGUCUUCAUCCUCCAGAACUUUUAUUUUGAAAGACAACUUGUUUAUAAAAACAGUUUGUUUA